rnacentral:rRNA from 1 species
GGUUAAGCGACUAAGCGUACACGGUGGAUGCCCUGGCAGUCAGAGGCGAUGAAGGACGUGCUAAUCUGCGAAAAGCGUCGGUAAGGUGAUAUGAACCGUUAUAACCGGCGAUGUCCGAAUGGGGAAACCCAGUGCAAUUCGUUGCACUAUCGUUAACUGAAUACAUAGGUUAACGAGGCGAACCGGGGGAACUGAAACAUCUAAGUACCCCGAGGAAAAGAAAUCAACCGAGAUUCCCCCAGUAGCGGCGAGCGAACGGGGAGCAGCCCAGAGUCUGAAUCAGCUUGUGUGUUAGUGGAACGGUCUGGAAAGUCCGACGGUACAGGGUGAUAGUCCCGUACACCAAAAUGCACAGGCUGUGAACUCGAAGAGUAGGGCGGGACACGUGGUAUCCUGUCUGAAUAUGGGGGGACCAUCCUCCAAGGCUAAAUACUCCUGACUGACCGAUAGUGAACCAGUACCGUGAGGGAAAGGCGAAAAGAACCCCGGCGAGGGGAGUGAAAAAGAACCUGAAACCGUGUACGUACAAGCAGUGGGAGCACCUUCGGGUGUGACUGCGUACCUUUUGUAUAAUGGGUCAGCGACUUAUAUUCUGUAGCAAGGUUAACCGUAUAGGGGAGCCGCAGGGAAACCGAGUCUUAACUGGGCGUUAAGUUGCAGGGUAUAGACCCGAAACCCGGUGAUCUAGCCAUGGGCAGGUUGAAGGUUGGGUAACACUAACUGGAGGACCGAACCGACUAAUGUUGAAAAAUUAGCGGAUGACUUGUGGCUGGGGGUGAAAGGCCAAUCAAACCGGGAGAUAGCUGGUUCUCCCCGAAAGCUAUUUAGGUAGCGCCUCGUGAACUCAUCUUCGGGGGUAGAGCACUGUUUCGGCUAGGGGGUCAUCCCGACUUACCAACCCGAUGCAAACUACGAAUACCGAAGAAUGUUAUCACGGGAGACACACGGCGGGUGCUAACGUCCGUCGUGAAGAGGGAAACAACCCAGACCGCCAGCUAAGGUCCCAAAGUCAUGGUUAAGUGGGAAACGAUGUGGGAAGGCACAGACAGCCAGGAUGUUGGCUUAGAAGCAGCCAUCAUUUAAAGAAAGCGUAAUAGCUCACUGGUCGAGUCGGCCUGCGCGGAAGAUGUAACGGGGCUAAACCAUGCACCGAAGCUGCGGCAGCGACACUAUGUGUUGUUGGGUAGGGGAGCGUUCUGUAAGCCUGCGAAGGUGACCUGUGAGGGUUGCUGGAGGUAUCAGAAGUGCGAAUGCUGACAUAAGUAACGAUAAAGCGGGUGAAAAGCCCGCUCGCCGGAAGACCAAGGGUUCCUGUCCAACGUUAAUCGGGGCAGGGUGAGUCGACCCCUAAGGCGAGGCCGAAAGGCGUAGUCGAUGGGAAACAGGUUAAUAUUCCUGUACUUGGUGUUACUGCGAAGGGGGGACGGAGAAGGCUAUGUUAGCCGGGCGACGGUUGUCCCGGUUUAAGCAUGUAGGCUGAUUGUCCAGGCAAAUCCGGAUAAUCAAGGCUGAGGUGUGAUGACGAGGCACUACGGUGCUGAAGUAACAAAUGCCCUGCUUCCAGGAAAAGCCUCUAAGCAUCAGGUAACAUUAAAUCGUACCCCAAACCGACACAGGUGGUCAGGUAGAGAAUACCAAGGCGCUUGAGAGAACUCGGGUGAAGGAACUAGGCAAAAUGGUGCCGUAACUUCGGGAGAAGGCACGCUGGUGUGUAGGUGAAGUCCCUGCGGAUGGAGCUGAGACCAGUCGAAGAUACCAGCUGGCUGCAACUGUUUAUUAAAAACACAGCACUGUGCAAACACGAAAGUGGACGUAUACGGUGUGACGCCUGCCCGGUGCCGGAAGGUUAAUUGAUGGGGUUAUCCGUAAGGAGAAGCUCUUGAUCGAAGCCCCGGUAAACGGCGGCCGUAACUAUAACGGUCCUAAGGUAGCGAAAUUCCUUGUCGGGUAAGUUCCGACCUGCACGAAUGGCGUAAUGAUGGCCAGGCUGUCUCCACCCGAGACUCAGUGAAAUUGAACUCGCUGUGAAGAUGCAGUGUACCCGCGGCAAGACGGAAAGACCCCGUGAACCUUUACUAUAGCUUGACACUGAACAUUGAGCCUUGAUGUGUAGGAUAGGUGGGAGGCUUUGAAGCGUGGACGCCAGUCUGCGUGGAGCCAACCUUGAAAUACCACCCUUUAAUGUUUGAUGUUCUAACGUUGGCCCCUUACCGGGGUUGCGGACAGUGUCUGGUGGGUAGUUUGACUGGGGCGGUCUCCUCCCAAAGCGUAACGGAGGAGCACGAAGGUUAGCUAAUCCUGGUCGGACAUCAGGAGGUUAGUGCAAUGGCAUAAGCUAGCUUGACUGCGAGCGUGACGGCGCGAGCAGGUGCGAAAGCAGGUCAUAGUGAUCCGGUGGUUCUGAAUGGAAGGGCCAUCGCUCAACGGAUAAAAGGUACUCCGGGGAUAACAGGCUGAUACCGCCCAAGAGUUCAUAUCGACGGCGGUGUUUGGCACCUCGAUGUCGGCUCAUCACAUCCUGGGGCUGAAGUAGGUCCCAAGGGUAUGGCUGUUCGCCAUUUAAAGUGGUACGCGAGCUGGGUUUAGAACGUCGUGAGACAGUUCGGUCCCUAUCUGCCGUGGGCGCUGGAGAAUUGAGGGGGGCUGCUCCUAGUACGAGAGGACCGGAGUGGACGCAUCACUGGUGUUCGGGUUGUCAUGCCAAUGGCACUGCCCGGUAGCUAAAUGCGGAAGAGAUAAGUGCUGAAAGCAUCUAAGCACGAAACUUGCCCCGAGAUGAGUUCUCCCUGAGACUUUAAGUCUCCUGAAGGAACGUUAAAGACGAUGACGUUGAUAGGCCGGGUGUGUAAGCGCAGCGAUGCGUUGAGCUAACCGGUACUAAUGAACCGUGAGGCUUAACCUU